rnacentral:rRNA from 1 species
GUUAAGCGACUAAGCGUACACGGUGGAUGCCCUGGCAGUCAGAGGCGAUGAAGGACGUGCUAAUCUGCGAUAAGCGUCGGUGAGGUGAUAUGAACCGUUAUAACCGGCGAUUUCCGAAUGGGGAAACCCAGUGUGUUUCGACACACUAUCAUUAACUGAAUCCAUAGGUUAAUGAGGCGAACCGGGGGAACUGAAACAUCUAAGUACCCCGAGGAAAAGAAAUCAACCGAGAUUCCCCCAGUAGCGGCGAGCGAACGGGGAGGAGCCCAGAGCCUGAAUCAGUGUGUGUGUUAGUGGAAGCGUCUGGAAAGGCGCGCGAUACAGGGUGACAGCCCCGUACACAAAAAUGCACAUACUGUGAGCUCGAUGAGUAGGGCGGGACACGUGGUAUCCUGUCUGAAUAUGGGGGGACCAUCCUCCAAGGCUAAAUACUCCUGACUGACCGAUAGUGAACCAGUACCGUGAGGGAAAGGCGAAAAGAACCCCGGCGAGGGGAGUGAAAAAGAACCUGAAACCGUGUACGUACAAGCAGUGGGAGCCUCUUAAUGGGGUGACUGCGUACCUUUUGUAUAAUGGGUCAGCGACUUAUAUUCUGUAGCAAGGUUAACCGAAUAGGGGAGCCGAAGGGAAACCGAGUCUUAACUGGGCGUUAAGUUGCAGGGUAUAGACCCGAAACCCGGUGAUCUAGCCAUGGGCAGGUUGAAGGUUGGGUAACACUAACUGGAGGACCGAACCGACUAAUGUUGAAAAAUUAGCGGAUGACUUGUGGCUGGGGGUGAAAGGCCAAUCAAACCGGGAGAUAGCUGGUUCUCCCCGAAAGCUAUUUAGGUAGCGCCUCGUGAAUUCAUCUCCGGGGGUAGAGCACUGUUUCGGCAAGGGGGUCAUCCCGACUUACCAACCCGAUGCAAACUGCGAAUACCGGAGAAUGUUAUCACGGGAGACACACGGCGGGUGCUAACGUCCGUCGUGAAGAGGGAAACAACCCAGACCGCCAGCUAAGGUCCCAAAGUCAUGGUUAAGUGGGAAACGAUGUGGGAAGGCCCAGACAGCCAGGAUGUUGGCUUAGAAGCAGCCAUCAUUUAAAGAAAGCGUAAUAGCUCACUGGUCGAGUCGGCCUGCGCGGAAGAUGUAACGGGGCUAAACCAUGCACCGAAGCUGCGGCAGCGACGCUUAUGCGUUGUUGGGUAGGGGAGCGUUCUGUAAGCCUGUGAAGGUGGCCUGUGAGGGUUGCUGGAGGUAUCAGAAGUGCGAAUGCUGACAUAAGUAACGAUAAAGCGGGUGAAAAGCCCGCUCGCCGGAAGACCAAGGGUUCCUGUCCAACGUUAAUCGGGGCAGGGUGAGUCGACCCCUAAGGCGAGGCCGAAAGGCGUAGUCGAUGGGAAACAGGUUAAUAUUCCUGUACUUGGUGUUACUGCGAAGGGGGGACGGAGAAGGCUAUGUUGGCCGGGCGACGGUUGUCCCGGUUUAAGCGUGUAGGCUGGU